rnacentral:rRNA from 1 species
CCUACGGGAGGCAGCAGUGAGGAAUAUUGGUCAAUGGACGAGAGUCUGAACCAGCCAAGUAGCGUGAAGGAUGACUGCCCUAUGGGUUGUAAACUUCUUUUAUAUGGGAAUAAAAUGUUCCACGUGUGGGAUUUUGUAUGUACCAUAUGAAUAAGGAUCGGCUAACUCCGUGCCAGCAGCCGCGGUAAUACGGAGGAUCCGAGCGUUAUCCGGAUUUAUUGGGUUUAAAGGGAGCGUAGGUGGAUUGUUAAGUCAGUUGUGAAAGUUUGCGGCUAAACCGUAAAAUUGCAGUUGAAACUGGCAGUCUUGAGGACAGUAGAGGUGGGCGGAAUUCGUGGUGUAGCGGUGAAAUGCUUAGAUAUCACGAAGAACUCCGAUUGCGAAGGCAGUUCACUGGACUGCAACUGACACUGAGGCUCGAAAGUGUGGGUAUCAAACAGGAUUAGAUACCCCGGUAGUC